GAUGAACGCUGGCGGCGUGCCUAACACAUGCAAGUCGAACGGAGUCAUGAAUUGGAAAUUUUCGGAUGGAAGAGACAUGACUUAGUGGCGGACGGGUGAGUAACGCGUGGGUAACCUGCCGUAUACAGGGGGAUAACACUUAGAAAUAGGUGCUAACACCGCAUAAGCGCACGGGAUUGCAUGAUCUUGUGUGAAAAUCUCCGGAGGUAUACGAUGGGCCCGCGUCUGAUUAGCCAGUUGGCAGGGUAACGGCCUACCAAAGCGACGAUCAGUAGCCGGCCUGAGAGGGUGGACGGCCACAUUGGGACUGAGACACGGCCCAA
rnacentral:rRNA from 1 species